CAAAGGUUUGGUCCUAGCCUUACUAUCAAUUGUCUCUCAAUUUACACAUGCAAGUCUCAGCACUCCCGUGAGGACGCCCUUUUCCCUUUACCAGGUUAAGGAGCUGAUAUCAGGCACACUUCACCGCCCACAACAUCUGGUCCCACCACACCCACAAGGGUAUUCAGCAGUGAUAAACAUUGUUCAUAAGCGUCAGCUUGACUCAGUCAGAGAGAAGAGGGCCGGCCAACUUGGUGCCAGCCGCCGCGGCUAUACCCACGGGCCCAAAUUGAUAAUACUCGGCGUUAAGCGUGAUUAAAGUCUGAUCAAAUUAGAGUUGAACCUACGAUCCAGCUGUAAAAAGCAUGCACUAGGGAAAACCGUAAACGAAAGUUACUCUAAUCUACACUUGAAUACACGACAACUAGGAAACAAACUGGGAUUAGAUACCCCACUAUGCCUAGUCGUAAAAUAUUAAAUUACACCCACAAGCGCCAGGGAACUACGAGCCUCAGCUUAAAACCCAAAGGACUUGACGGUGUCCCAUCCCACUAGAGGAGCCUGUCCUGUAAUCGAUGGUCCCCGAUUCACCUAACCUUUCUUUGCCCAUCAGCCUGUAUACCUCCGUCGUAAACUUACCAUAUGAAUGACACACAGUCUAGUUCAAAGAUCUAUUCAUCUAUACGUCAGGUCAAGGUGCAGCCUAUGGAAAGGUAAGAGAUGGGCUACAGUUUCUAAUCUAGAACAAACGAAGUACUGCAUGAAACACAGUCAUGAAGGAGGAUUUAGUAGUAAAGAGAAACUAGUGAGUUCUCUUUAACACGGCCCUGGGACACGUACACACCGCCCGUCGCCCUCUUUAACGAUCAUCAACCCGGUUUCUAACCCAAUAGCAUAGUAAAAAAGAGGUAAGUCGUAACAUGGUAAGUGUACUGGAAAGUGCACUUGGAUCAA
rnacentral:ncRNA from 1 species